UAACCAUAUCACGUCGAAACAUCGGUUCUCGUCUGAUCUGCGCAGUUAAGCAACGUCGAGUCUGGUCUGUAGCUAGAUGGUUGACCGCUUGGGAAUACCAGGUGUUGUAA